rnacentral:lncRNA from 1 species
AGCAGUCUGCAGUGCAGAAGUGAAUCUGGGCUGUCAAUACAAGCAAAUCCAUGAUGUUCCUGGAUUUGAGAACCUUCCCCUGUGGCGCUGCUUUCACUGAACUGCUGUUUGUGCAAACUCAGUAGGUUUCUGCUCCAAGAACACAAACCUCAGCAGCUGUGUGAGGACUAAAUGUAUAUUGCUGCUGUUAGCCUAGCUGGGGCAUAGCAGAAGCCCAGUGCAAUCCCUAGAGUGCUCAGCUCCGAAGGAAAUCAUCUGCUUAUCUUGCUGUGGACAGAGGAAGGCUGUAAUUCAAACCUUCAGCAGCUGUAACUUGUCAAUGACUCAUGCUAAAAAUCAGAAUUUCUUCCAUAGGUUAGAGGAAAAGAUCACAGGGAAGGUGGAUGUCCAGGAUGUGUUUAUCUGAGUGCGUUCUGUACUGGCCUGCUUCCCAGUGUCCAGUGAGAAUGCAUGUUGCCUGACCCAGCAGAACAGAUAGGCAUGCAUUGAUGUCUGCAUGCUUGUGUCUGUGUUGGCACUGUUAAAGGAAAUUUCACGGGCAAAGGACAAAGAUGUCAAAUCAAUGACAGAGUGACCACCUCCUUCUGGAACAAGAGCACAGGAAAACUGAAUGCACUGCAAGGAUGUGAUUGCAUUUAUUUUAGAAUUCAAAUCAUAUCAAACAAGAAGUUGAAGAAAGAAGCAUGCUUUCACAGCAGCGAGCGUUUUGGUUUUGACCGUGUGGUUUCUCUAAGAACUGACUCCACAUGAAACUGAUGCUUUCAGAAAGCUCUGUCCCCCACAACUCUGAAUUGUGAGCAGAUGAAAAGUCUCAGGAAACAGAUCAGCCUUGCCAUCAGCCCCAGAAGCACAGAGGACAUUGUGAAUUGGUGAGAUGGGAUCACUACACACCUGGAAGAAAAGACAGACUGAACUUCCCAUCCCUUUAUAUGUAACUUGGUCUUACCAAGGCUAUGCCACGCUGAUGAGCUGCACUGCAGUGUUCUGAUGCUGUUGGAGAUUCUGUAAAAAGACCAGGGCACUGUACGCUGCACUGGGAGGGAGUCUCUUAGCAAAAGGCAGAUUCUGUGGUGUUGGAGUUCAAUAGCAGAGAAGAAUCAGAGCUUGCUCCUAAACAACAGUAAGAGCUCACCAAAAUUGAUGUGUGACUCCUGUGAAAUGAGAGUUCACUGUGAAAUGAGAGUUUACUUGCAGUAAAGCUAUUUACAUCAAGUACAUCAAUUGGGGUUUGCUAUUAAAACUGCAACUGACAGUGUUGUACUGACAGCAUUGAUCCUGCGCUGGUAAAGCCAACCAUUCACUUAGCUUUUACAUUAAAUAAUAAGCUUAAGUAAUCCUAAAAGUUAGGAGUAGUCCUGCAAAGUAACAAACACAGCCACGCAAAGGGAAGUUGGAAAGGUGAGAGUUUACAUUCUUUCCUCAAUGUUUUCUCUCCUAUCAUUUAUUACAAAGUAUCAUAUAAUAUGUCUCUUUUGACCUUUCCUUGCACCAGAUUUACCCUAGUUUGAGACAUCAGCUUCCUCAAGUGUGCACAGCUGGUCUUCUAUAAUUUUAUCUAGAAGUAGGGGAGGAUGUUCAGGUACAAGACCUCACUAGAGAAGCUGGUACAAAUGCUUCACUCCUGAAUUAGACUUUUACAACAUGGUGAAGGAAUUUUACUUUUAUUAUUCAUAGAGAUGGUAAAAUCGUAUGUAUUUCUGUCUUGCUCCUCGUAGAGAA